GGGUCAAUACGUUUUUUAAAAUUUUUUCAGUUGUGACAACUGACAACCCAUGAUUUCAGCAGUCAGUUACUAUGUUCAUUUCAAAAUUUUGCACACCUGUGAUCUCGCUUCCUACGGCGACCUCCCAUUCUCCUCAUUCCGACCCACACUGAACUUAUUGACCAGGAUAAUGGUGAGAUUGUAUAUUCACUAUUUAUGUUUCUUUGUGUGAAACGAAGACGCCUCCGCCUUCCACUCUUUCCGAUCUUCACCGCAAGUAGUAGCCAUGGAGAGUGUAGCCGAUUUGCAGUAUAGUUGUUUGGCGAUGCUAAUGUUUCAGAGGUUUCGUGUUGAAGCAUGGACCGCAAUUCCUCUGAAACUAUGUCAGAGAAGGCCUGGAGAUGCCACGGCUUUGUAUGCAUCAACAGAAAAGAUUGAGAAAAACCUUGGCUGAAAGCAUCGAGCUUUUCAGUGAAGGACUUGGGGGCACGUACCACAAAGAUAAUAAAGAGAAUCCUCAUCUAAAUGAUGAUGUCUGAAACGGUCUCCACUUUGUCCACUUUCUCCUUCUUCGGUUUCAACCAUCCUUCACACCUCUGUGUUUUCAAUCUGAUGGCAAUGGGAAAGGAUUUAAUAUGGAGAAUAUACACCAAAAUAUAGAUUUCAAUGUUCUGUUUCUGCUGUCAUCUGUUUUGUACGACAUAUACAGGCAGUGUGCCAACAAAGUUCCGCCUAGGAAGCUAUGUCGAGAGUUCGUAACCUUCUACUGGAUACUCACGUGCUAAAAAUUUAUGGUAGUGUGCUAACGAAUAUUUGCCAAAAAAGUUAUGUCAGUAGAUCCCACACGUUCUGUUGGAAAAUCGAUGGGUAAAUCUUCUUAAAUUGUAAUUUGUACUGUUUUCUUUUCGCUGACAAAUUGUCCUGCUUAAUUUUGCGUGGUUUUAUAUUAGUUAUUGUGUGUGAUCUGCAUGCUUACAGAUAGCAUUAUCACGGAUGAAAACCAUCAAAGCAAUAUCCAUAGUUUCCAUCGUUAGAAUGGGAAAUCACGUGGCAAAUCUUCUCGCCAUUAAAUCUGAAUUAUCUGCUUCUUUGCUGCUGAAAUGUGUUUGAGCUGAAUAUGUGUUUGAUUAUGUUUAUUUAAUCUACAUAGAUUGCGGCAGGAGUAGCUCCACUCAGGCUGAAUCUUCUAUUUCAAUCCCAUCUACACGUAAUCAUUCCCUUCCAGGUAAAGAGAAUGAUUUAUGCUCACCUUCGCAGAGGAGACUGCAUGAUGUUAAUUCGCUUGGUAUUACUAAAAUAUUUGUGAAUACAAAGGAUAUGCCAAAUGACGUUUUCUGCCCUUACAAGUUAAAAUAUAUGUUUUGUUCCGAUUAAUUUUCCACUCCAGUUUACAUGUCUUUCUGCGAAGUAUGUGUUUGUUUACUGUUGUAGAAAUUAAUAUUGUAUAUGGUGUUAUUCUGUAUUUUCUUAUCAUCUAUGUCGGGAUUCAAGAUUUUAAUCUCUGAUUUGUCGCAUUGAUUUUACAGGUCUUGGUAUGGAUUCUAAUCUCAAUUGCGGUGAACAACAAAAUGAAUUAGGAUGCGAUCUCCGUCCCUAAACGAAGAUAUUAUUGCAUCUUGACCUUCUCGGAAGGUUUAUCAUUUUGUUCUUAUAAUCUUGCAUCUCAUCUCUUUUGCAUUCAAAAUUAACAUAUUAUACGGUUCUUACUUUUGUUCGAGGUUAUAUUUUGCCUUUAUAGCUAUGGAUUGAUAUUAUUCAUUUAGUCCAAUUCAUAUCUGCUCUAAUUUUACAAAAAAGAGCUUCUCUUUUCUGGUUCAAGUGCAGUACCUUCAAGCAUAAAAGGCAAGGCAUUAGCAGUUAUUAAAAGUAUAAUAACAAGAUAAUUAUUUGGCUCUUAUUACUUUAGUAAUAAUAUGCUUAAAUAUUGUAGCGCUAUAAUGAUAUUAUGAUUUCACUAAUAAUAUUUGAUUUAAAAAUAUAUUACACAUUUAAAUCGGCUAUAAAAUGUUCCUUCCUCUUAACCAAUAUAGACAUCAUCUUCUUGAAAAAUACCUGCUUCUUAUUACUUUUGUGAAGUUGAUUUUUACUUUGAGGAUUGUGGCUAUUAGCACUAACAGUGUGUUGAUUCAAGGGUUUUCUUUCAAUUAUUUUUAUUAGUUCUCCUGUAUUUUGUGAUUUUAUUGUAUUAAUGCGCGUUUUUAUAUUUUUAAUAUGUUGUUGUUUGCUUAUUUCUAUUUAUAUCUACUACCCAGUGGAAUUUAAGCUGAAGCAUAUCUUGCUCUGGAUGUAUAACAAAUGACUCUCCAUCUGCUUUUGUAAAAGAAAUUGGCUUCUUCAUCGCCGAAACUUAAACAAUUUUAAGAAAACGAUGAGAAUUCGAGGUCCCAAAGAAUGCACAUAUAUACUGCGUUGCUAAACAUCUCUUAGCUACAAUAGAAAAGUAUGUGCAGAGAUUUUUUUCUACAGCUACAUAUGGUAUGCUCAGAAAAGAGGAAUAAAGGAUGUAGGAUUGGCAGUUCUGUAGGUACGAGGCAGAUGAAUAGAUAAUGAUGAUGCAGGACUGUCAGUUCUGCUGGUACGAGGCAGGGAGGGAAAAGUUUCAGCGUGCAAAGUUCAAAGAAUGAUUGGGUAUAAUUAUUAUUAAAUUAAGAAAACCUGUUUUCUGGUAGUAUUGACAUGUUAAAUUCUUUGAUUUAACACUCAAUUUUUUUUCUCUUCCCAAUUAAUUGAAGCACUCAAUUUUCCUUAGCCAAUUAAUUGAAGCACUCAACCUUUUGCUAGACCAAGAUUUUUUCAGGCUGAUUCUACUAGCAUUGUAGUAUGGAUGCACUACUGUAGAUAAUUAUAGAUGCCACUAAUACAACUACAACUUAAUUAGACUAAAAUUUAACGUUAGAGGAGUAUGGAUUGGACUCACUUAGAUCAGUGUCUCAAGUCUCAUGUUUUCUAAACCUGCACAAAUUCGAAGCAGCCAAUUCCAAUUAUAAUACCAAGCAAAUAUUUCACACCGCUCCUCGAGAUUGAAUGGUAACUAUGCUUUGUGUUAUGUUUUUGUGAAUAUAGGAAGUUUGUUUCCUGACUUCACAUCAUGUAAAUUAUCCGUUUACAUUGAAGGUUUGAAAGGAGAUAACUGUUUGGCAAUCCAAGCACCAACUCAGAGUCGCACAACGCGUGGUCACGGUGAAUUAUUCUUUGUUCUAUCCCCUAAAUUACUUAUGUCUUUAGAUUUUCUGUUCUCCUUUGUGUAUUGUGAUUACAUCCCAUCUAUUAUUAGUCACAUUCAAAUCCAAUUUAAAUACUUAGCAAGUCGUAAGAUAUUUGUUGUGUGGUUUUCGAUGUACUCCUCUGUAUCCUAUUGCAGAUAGGGUUUUGAAAGACAUAACAAACAAAUAUGUUUUUCCACCUCCAAAGAGGCACGCCAUGGAAGUCCUGGUUGAUUUAUUCAUCCUUUGUUGUUCAUAAAAUUUCCUAAACAAAAUAUAUGGAUUUUCGCCAGGUGUUACCCGUCAAAGUCCACUUACAACCAUGCUACAGCAGAGAGCAGUGGCCAUGAUCAACAAAGAAUCAAUCACUGAUUGCCAAAAUUAAGGUUCGAAGUUGACUCUAAGUUUUAACAGGUUAAUAUAGUUUAACUUUAGCAGAUUUUUUUUAUUUUUGGUGAUACAUGUGUAAUAAUCUCUCCUUUUGUUUUAUACAAAUGCAGUUAAAAGGUUAGCAUAAGAAUAUAGUAAAAAAUUAGCAAAAAAAUGCAGUCAAAAUUAUAAUUUUUAAUUACAUAAAUGAGCAAACAAAAUAGAUGAAGGAAAUAUGUAUAUUAGAUUAUAAUAUUUGUUUGAUAUUAUUAAUUAACUUCAUAUUGAUCGAUCGUAAAUGGUAGAAGUCUAAAUUUAUUAGAAAUAAAUACUUUGUAAAUAUAGCUCAUACAAAGUAUGAAUUUAAAUAUUGAUCUCUGUAUCAAGAAUAGUUUGCAAAAAUAUAUAAGAAUGUUGUAGAUAGUGUUGGUUUUAAAUAUGAAAAAAAUGUGGAAACAUCUCUUCAUGUGCUUUAGGCUUUCAUUUAUUAUCAUUUUUGCACAUUGUAUAUAAGUUGUAGAUUCCAGUCAUUUGCAGACUUUAGUUUUGUUAAGUUUGUGCUGAACUCAAUUAGUCAAUUAUAAGAUUUUUCAUGAAAUUUUGCCGUUUACCCCACCUCACUUCUCCACAGAACCACAAGUCAAAUUGUGCAAGCUCCACAGGUCACCCUUCUUUGUCAAUUUCACUUUUAUAUAUUAACGUGACUGCACCCCAGGUUCCCACCCUCCCUUUAGUAGCUUCUUCGCUGUCAUAGGCAAAUGCAAACUUUAUUCGAACAAUGCUUUUAACAAUGACGAAGCCCUUAUUGCUGAAGCAGUUAGGAAUUAGGAUCUUGAAUGAGGGUCGAUUUCAAAAUCAAUCAAGAAAAUGUAAAUUGAUAGAGGAAGAAUUUUGGGAUGGAGUCCAUGUCCAAAAUAUUCUGGGACGUGUGUUAGGUUCCCUCUAUGAACUGUUAUACAAAUGGAAUCAAGUUGCCUGCAAGAGAGGAAACUUGGUAAAUUCAGAGCCUUCUGUAAACCAGAAAGCAGAGCAAGAAAACAGAGACCUGGUCAUUGUCUUCAUGGUAGUCGAGCAUGUUCUGCUGGAAAUGGCGUUGCUUGAGAAAUAGAAAAUGAUAAAAGGAUACAUGUGAUCUUCUUUACUGGUUUCCUUUUGGUUUUGCGUGUCAAGUAGCAUUUAUACAGCAAUUAUUAGAAUGUAUCAUCUUUUAUUAGCUUUCUCUUAAAUGUUUUUGGUGUACUUAUAAAUUUUAUCAAUCAAUGUAUUUUUUUAUAGA